rnacentral:lncRNA from 1 species
ACCACCAGACCAGGCCAUUGAGCACGAUGCUUUUAUAUAUAUAUAUAUAUAUAUAUAUAUAUAUAUAUAUAUAUAAAGAAAAGAGAAGAAGAGAGGACGUCAAUUCCCAUUAUCUGUUCGAGUCUUCUUACAGCCACUUGUUGAUUUCUUGAACUCUGGAUUUGAUUGUCUGUUUCAGAGGAAAGUGUGCUUUCAUGGCAGUAGCAGUGACUAAUCUCCUCAACAAGAGAUCCCUUCCUCGUGGAAAGGUCAGGAUAAAAGAAACAUUAUAGGAAAGUGGUGGUGGAUCUUCCUUCAAGACUGAUAUUUCUUCUGUGGUUCUGCUUAAAGCAGCAGGAUCAUUUUCUUGGUCAAUUCUCAGUCUUCUUUAAUCAUUCCUUGGUGGCUGCCAACCCUAGUAAUCUGGGUUAAGCUCCGGCUGUGAAGUGAUUAACUUACGGCCACAAGUUUGGUAUUCCCAAGGGAUGGCGAUUUGAUUCAAACCGUGUGGAUAAUGAUUUAAAUCUACCUAAAUGGAUGGUUUUGGGUUUUUUUUUUUUAAUGAAUAGUUGUGUUAAUAAAUGAAUAAUAGAUAGAGUAUGUUUAUUGUAAAAUUCGUUUCAAAUUAAAUUUAGUUUAAAAUUUUAUAUAUAUAUAUAUAUAUAUAUAUUACCAUUUAAUAUUUUGUUAAAUAAUAAAUAAUAGUUGUAAAAUGAAUAUUAUGUGAAUACCCAAAACCUGAAAAAUAUAAUAUAAAAACUUAAUUUUUUUACUCCAUCAAUAACGAGUUGAGU